ACUCCUACGGGAGGCAGCAGUGGGGAAUAUUGCACAAUGGGCGCAAGCCUGAUGCAGCAACGCCGCGUGAGUGAUGAAGGCCUUCGGGUCGUAAAGCUCUGUCCUCAAGGAAGAAUAAAUGACGGUACUUGAGGAGGAAGCCCCGGCUAACUACGUGCCAGCAGCCGCGGUAAUACGUAGGGGCAAGCGUUAUCCGGAAUCACUGGGCGUAAAGGGUGCGUAGGCGGUUUUUCAAGUCAGAAGUGAAAGGCUAUGGCUCAACCAUAGUAAGCUUUUGAAACUGUUAAACUUGAGUGCAGGAGAGGAAAGUGGAAUUCCUAGUGUAGAGGUGAAAUUCGUAGAUAUUAGGAGGAACACCAGUGGCGAAGGCGACUUUCUGGACUGUAACUGACGCUGAGGCACGAAAGCGUGGGAGCGAACAGGAUUAGAUACCCUGGUAGACUGUCA
rnacentral:rRNA from 1 species